rnacentral:rRNA from 1 species
AUUGAACGCUGGCGGCAUGCCUUACACAUGCAAGUCGAACGGCAGCACGGGUGCUUGCACCUGGUGGCGAGUGGCGAACGGGUGAGUAAUACAUCGGAACAUGUCCUGUAGUGGGGGAUAGCCCGGCGAAAGCCGGAUUAAUACCGCAUACGAUCCACGGAUGAAAGCGGGGGACCUUCGGGCCUCGCGCUAUAGGGUUGGCCGAUGGCUGAUUAGCUAGUUGGUGGGGUAAAGGCCUACCAAGGCGACGAUCAGUAGCUGGUCUGAGAGGACGACCAGCCACACUGGGACUGAGACACGGACCAGACUCCUACGGGAGGCAGCAGUGGGGAAUUUUGGACAAUGGGCGAAAGCCUGAUCCAGCAAUGCCGCGUGUGUGAAGAAGGCCUUCGGGUUGUAAAGCACUUUUGUCCGGAAAGAAAUCCUUGGCUCUAAUACAGUCGGGGGAUGACGGUACCGGAAGAAUAAGCACCGGCUAACUACGUG